rnacentral:tRNA from 1 species
GCCAGUGUGGCUCAGUGGGUAGAGUGUCGGCCCAAGGAAUGAAGACUCGCAGGUUCCAUUCCGGUCAAUGGCA